AAAGCCGCUGCACGCUCCGCCUGUCCUCGUUCCUCCGCCGCUCCUCAGGCCUGCUCACAGGAGCUCAAUAAAAAUGAAAGUGGCUGUCAGACGGUCCAAAAUGAUGAUGAAGACUUCAGAACAUCAUCAGACGCUCUGCUGGUCCUGGGAAAGUCAAGAGACACGAAGCAACCGCUGGAGCUGAAGGUUCACUUGCAUUGGGUUGACUUCACACUCGGCAACACCCAGAGCAGGUUUGUGAUCACACUAUCCAUAGAUGGAUCCAUAUUACAGAAAUGAGACUGCGCUUCAGUCCCAAAGGCCAAGUGAAGAACCAAAUGGCAGUACAUGAAGCGCUGUCUGGCCAGUGGCAGUAAAAAGGGGCCAUGUGAAGACAUGCGACGCCUUUCUCAGCCGUCAUGCCUUGUGUUGGUCUGAACUGGGGUUGUGACGUUCCUGAGCACAAGAUGGCACACGAGCAUGGUGUGCUUCACUCUGCCGUCUGUCUGAACAGAAGAGAUGAGCUCAACUGAGGGAAGAGCUGGCUGAGCCUGACCUUGGAAUUCAUCGGAGUCCUGACUGUCAGAAGCAAGGGUCACAGCAAAAGCAUAACUUUACUCUGAAAUGCUGUGCUUUGUUUGGACAGUGACCUGAGACGCUGUGGAUAAGAACAUAAACAUGUCUGUUUGAUAUCAAUAAAUGAAUACUAAAAU